rnacentral:rRNA from 1 species
GAUGAACGCUAGCGGCAGGCCUAACACAUGCAAGUCGAGGGGUAGCAGGAUUAAGCUUGCUUAAUUGCUGACGACCGGCGCACGGGUGCGUAACGCGUAUGCAACCUACCUUAUACUGGGGUAUAGCCCGGAGAAAUUCGGAUUAAUCCCCCAUAGUACUAAUGAAUCGCAUGGUUUAUUGGUUAAAGCAUUGCGGUAUAAGAUGGGCAUGCGUCCUAUUAGCUAGAUGGUGAGGUAACGGCUCACCAUGGCUACGAUAGGUAGGGGGCCUGAGAGGGUGGUCCCCCACACUGGUACUGAGACACGGACCAGACUCCUACGGGAGGCAGCAGUGAGGAAUAUUGGUCAAUGGGCGCAAGCCUGAACCAGCCAUGCCGCGUGCAGGAAGAAUGCCCUAUGGGUUGUAAACUGCUUUUAUUUGGGAACAAACCUCUUUACGUGUAGAGAGCUGAAGGUACCAAAUGAAUAAGCACCGGCUAACUCCGUGCCAGCAGCCGCGGUAA